rnacentral:rRNA from 1 species
AUACGGAGGGUGCAAGCGUUAUUCGGAAUCACUGGGCGUAAAGGGUACGUAGGCGGGUUGGCAAGUCAGAUGUGAAAUCCUACAGCUUAACUGUAGAACUGCAUUUGAAACUGCUAACCUAGAGUAUGGGAGGGGGAGAUGGAAUUAGUGGUGUAGGGGUAAAAUCCGUAGAUAUCACUAGGAAUACCGAAAGCGAAGGCGAUCUCCUGGAACAUAACUGACGCUAAGGCGUGAAAGCGUGGGGAGCAAACAGGAUUAGAUACCCUAGUAGUCC